rnacentral:rRNA from 1 species
UACGUAGGGUGCAAGCGUUGUCCGGAUUUAUUGGGCGUAAAGAGCGCGUAGGCGGUCUGUUAAGUGUAGAGUGAAAUCUCUGGGCUCACCCCGGAAACUGCUCUGCAUACUGGCAGACUUGAGGGAAGCAGAGGUUUGUGGAAUUCCUGGUGUAGCGGUGAAAUGCGUUGAUAUCAGGAGGAACACCCAUGGCGAAGGCAGCAACUGGGCUUCAUCUGACGCUGAUGCGCGAAAGCGUGGGUAGCAAACAGG